rnacentral:rRNA from 1 species
GAGUUUGAUCGUGGCUCAGAUUGAACGCUGGCGGCAUGCCUUACACAUGCAAGUCGAACGGCAGCAUGAUCUAGCUUGCUAGAUUGAUGGCGAGUGGCGAACGGGUGAGUAAUACAUCGGAACGUGCCCUGUAGUGGGGGAUAACUAGUCGAAAGAUUAGCUAAUACCGCAUACGACCUGAGGGUGAAAGUGGGGGGACCGCAAGGCCUCAUGCUAUAGGGGCGGCCGAUGUCUGAUUAGCUAGUUGGUGGGGUUAAAGGCCCACCAAGGCGACGAUCAGUAGCUGGUCUGAGAGGACGAUCAGCCACACUGGGACUGAGACACGGCCCAGACUCCUACGGGAGGCAGCAGUGGGGAAUUUUGGACAAUGGGCGAAAGCCUGAUCCAGCAAUGCCGCGUGUGUGAAGAAGGCC